GACGAACGCUGGCGGCGUGCCUAAUACAUGCAAGUCGAGCGGGGUUUAUCGGUAGCUUGCUACUGAUAAACCAAGCGGCGGACGGGUGAGUAACGCGUGGGCAACCUGCCCUCUAGCCUGGGAUAACAGCGCGAAAGUGCUGCUAACACCGGAUAUGCUCACAGGGAGACAUCUCCCAGUGAGGAAAGUUUACACUAGAGGAUGGGCCCGCGUCCCAUUAGCUAGUUGGUGAGGUAACGGCCCACCAAGGCGACGAUGGGUAGCCGACCUGAGAGGGUGAUCGGCCACACUGGGACUGAGACACGGCCCAGACUCCUACGGGAGGCAGCAGUAGGGAAUUUUCCGCAAUGGGCGCAAGCCUGACGGAGCAACGCCGCGUGAGGGAUGAAGGUUUUCGGAUCGUAAACCUCUGUCUUCAGGGACGAUAAUGACGGUACCUGAGGAGGAAGCCACGGCUAACUACGUGCCAGCAGCCGCGGUAAAUACGUACGACGUCGCGUG
rnacentral:rRNA from 1 species